GCACCGGCCCAUCUUGAGCUCUGCUGCACUGGUGGCUGUCAGGACCGAAUUCACAUUUGUUUUUAUCUUGGCUGAGGGCAGGUGGCCUUCAGUUCACACUCAGGCCCCUGCCAUGCCAGCCUGAGCAGAGCCCAUGCAAAGGAAGGGAACGAGCCUAAGGUCUGCCUGUGGCCAGCAGUUGUCUGGGUUUUUGUUGCCCUGCCCUAAACAAUGUGUCCGUCAGCUUGAGCUGCAGCUGUUGGACAAAGCGCCCAAUCUAAAGCUGCAGUAUGGUCUAGUGGUCACGGGAGAAGCAGUGCAAUAUUGAUGCCAAGGGGUCUUGGUGCCACGGAUCCGCACAGGCUGCCUCCUUUUCGCCUCCCAGGGACACUCUGGAGGCCAAAUGCUGGAGUGUGGGAGCACCAGCAGUCAAACUAUUCUACUGGUUAGGUGUUAGCAACCCAUGUAAGCUGAGGCAUGAAGCAACUUAGGAGCUGAGACCUCUGCUCCCAGAGGACCGCGCGGCACCUGUGGGCACAGGCCACUGCAGUGUGUGACAAACUGGUGCUCCGGAGCCCAGCGGGGCUGGCCCAGCCCCUGGUGAGUUCUAGCUGCCUUGUCUGCUUGUUUACUUCACAACCAAAUGUGUCCCCUCUCGUCUCAGGUAAGGGACGAAAGUCUUUAGCUGUAUGUAGUACCCACAUAACAGAAACCGAGAAGCUAUUACUUGGGCAAACUCACUCACAGGCAGAAAGGGACGAGGGCCUCCCCUUUACGGUGGGAAGGGGGGUGGGGUGGGUGUGAGAGUGAGAGCGCCUUAGCGUGGUUUAACCACAAGCCAGUUUUAGGGGCCUGUGAAAUACCUGCGAACUAGCCUGACCAAGCCCCAGCUGCCCCUAAACUACCAAGUCACUAUGACACUGCCUUUCAGGAAACGUCCUGUCACCCAGCUACAGUACAGGUAUGGCCACAUGCUUUAACUCCUUAGCUUUGCCAGUUCAUUCCCCCAAAAUGUCCCCAGACCCCUAACUUUCCAACUCCCCCAAACCUGUAAUCCAGAGCUGCCUUCUUGAUUCAGAAGUCGGGGGGCAGAGAGAUGUGUCCACAGUGGCCACUGCCCUGCACGCCUCCCUCGGCCCCCUGUGGCAGGCUCUCAGGCAGUCCCGGGGGGGGGGGACGCGGGGGGGCUGCAGGCCAGGGCCAGGCACUGGGCUAAGCACUGCUCCCCAGAGGGCUUUAUUUGGGCAGAGUCCUCACCACCGUCCGGACUGCCUGUCGGAAGGCGUCUUCUCUACUGCCUGGCUAGAGCUGCAAAGAAAGGGACAGAUCCCACUUUGGUAAAAGAGGACAGGGAGAGGCCAUCAACAAAGACAGACUGGUAGUUUAUUUUGUAUUUUUUUAAAUAAAUACACUUUACAUUAAAGAAAAAGGCCUUUGAUUUAUAAUUUCCACAUUGGGGAGAAAGAAGAAAAAAAAGGAUUUUUUAAAAACUGAAUGACAAAGAAAAAUAGAGGGAGUGAACUCAUAUCCUACGUUCCCUGAACUCCACAGAACCCACCCGCUCCGACCUCGCUGCCCCAGGCCACGAAGCUGCGCGGGGCGAGGCAUUUACUCGGCGAACAAGCUCUGGCACAAAGGAAAGCAAAUUAACCUGACAGCAUAUGAGGCAACGAAAACAGGUUAAAAAUCAUAUAUUAUAUUUAUAAUAAAAUAUUCUUAAUCCUUAUCAAUUUAAGAAACCACGAUUUUCCUUUUCAUUUAAAUACGUAUGUAAAAAUGCCUCUCUAUUGUUCUUUAGAUGUCAUUUUCUUCCAUAGAAAAUGAAGUGCAGGGACAAGACCUGGUGGAUACAAGUUCAUACCCUCGGUUAUAAAUGCCUGGCUUUUUUUUUCUUUUUAAGUUUUAUAAAAAACUAUUUCUUGUUCUUUAAGUAAAGAACAUUAUACAAAGAAAAUAUAUUGUGAAAUAACCCCAGAGACAUGUUUCUUUUCCUUGAGGAGAGCUAUGUCCCCCCUAGGAGAAGGGGAAGCAGACGAGGCCUAACCCGUUGUCUUUUUGUGGUGGUUCUUGUUGGGAAGGGCCCUCAGGUCCCAGUGAGACUCUAAGCUAGUCCUCUGAGCGCAGGCCAUGCACAGCCCUGGGAGGAAGGGGAGGGAAGGUGUUCUGAAUGCAUCUGACUCAGUUUCUCGCCUGCCAAGAAUCUCCCAUGUGGUGAUGGCUCCUCACUCAUUCAGAGAUAAGAUGAUGUCAUCUUCCAGAUCAGAGCUGUCCGCGCUGUCGGCUGCAAGGAAGAAAACUGAAGUGGAUAAAGUAAAACUAAGAAAAACAUGGCCAUGAUUCAAGAAAAUCCUGGAAAUAAGCAAAGAGAUGGCUGGAAAAACCAGUGUUCCUGGGUCUAAAAGGCUCAAGCACAGACUGAUGACUGGUGAGCAGGGGAAACAGGAUGGAAAGAUCAUCCAAGAACUAAUACCUGACACAGCUGCUCCAAACAGCCCCGUCAGCUUCCUGGCUGCGGGAACUCCCGGAGGAAGUGCCAGCAGGGAGAGGUGGGCCUGUUCCGCAGAGCCAAGCCCUGCUCCGUGUCCUGGGCUGUGGGAGACUCCAGAGUACCCCAGGAGCCAGCAAUGUCAGACCCACCCCCGCGACACCUGUCUGAGCGUCAGCUGUAAAGCUGCUAGGAGUCGAAGAGUCUUCACCCUGCCUCGCGUCUAAGAACGGUCGGUGCAGCUGGACGAGGACACAACACAAUCUUUAAGCAACUGGCAGGUGCAGAGUUGAGAGAACCUUCAGGGCUCAGGCACUAACUCCCCUCCUGGUGGUCACCUGGCAGGACUCCUUCCUCUACGUGCCUUAGCCUUUUCCUCAGCCUCCAAGUGUUCAAGAGACCUGGUCAGGACCUGUCCUGAAAGGCCCUUGAGGCCAAGGCAUCUAGAUAUACAUGCGCAGUGUUGAUGCAACAUUUAACCUGCUGUUCUUACAACACGCAGGCUUCUGGGGGCAGAACUGACUGGAACCGAGAAGCACGAAGACCUCAGAGUGGAGGUGCUCCCCUUCCCGGGGCUGGGGUUCUGCACCGGGGCUGAGAUCCCUGGGUCCCUGGGGCCCAGGACCCACGCGAGGUCAGGCGGGGCACAUGGCCGUGCUUUCCUGCCCCUGCUGGCUCUCAUCAUGUCCUAAAAGGGCUCCGUAAGUCCCAACAGCAGGAGCCACUGCCCUCGAGGAUUAGUAUACGGCGAAGUAUCAGGAAGCCAAGGGCACAGCAGGCUCUGUCUGCUCUGCCACGAGUGGCUGGGGGUCGCUACAAAAACAGAGCAAUGGAGUAUGUGCCUCAGAUGCCACCUCUGUCACCUCAAUCCUAGAGCCCAAGCUAAAAUGUCCUCUAGUUGUCAUCUAUUAUGGCUUUUUCACAUCAUAAAUCUUCCCACCAAGUUAACAUUCUCAUUGCUGACAGAAUUAAGGUUUCCCAGAUUUUCUCUUGGGCUUUAAAGACGACAUUUCCUAAACUAAAGAGUUAAAGGAUAAAGGAGGCAGUAAUUUUACAAGCCAAAUACAAAUUCAGUGACUAUAUUCAAAUUAAGAAUGGAAAACUCAGUGAUACUCUUAGGUCGGGAGCACCACCACCAGCUGCUCCCUAGCCUACCUUACGUAAUAGGCUGGCGUAAAAGGAAUUGCGGCUUAAAAGGUUAAAAAAUUGCAAAAACUGCAAUUACUUUUACACCGACUUAAUACUUGUAAUUUAAGGGAAACAGAAUUUGUGCCCCAUGUGUCACUAUUCAGAUGACAAAAAGGUCCAGUUAACUUGCCCUUGUAUCAGUACUGUCAUGUGUCCUUUGCCCCCUUAGUCACUCUUGACCUGGCUCUCUGACCAUGGCUAGGGACAAAGCAAGUCCUGCACUGAAUCACCUCAACUUCCAAUGUGGAAAAUACGGAAGCUGGUAAACAGCAGGUGGGCAGAUACAAGGCACUCCCUCCCCACAGAUCUUCCUCAAAAUACAACUAGGCGGGAGAACUUCUAUAAGAAGGACAGUCUCCCCUAAGCCAGCUGCCUUCCAUCUUGAGGGCUCAAAGCAAGGAUGAGAUUUAUCCCAAAGAAAAUGGAUUCAGGUCACUGUGGAAUAGAAUCAUUUAUAUAUCUGCGUAAAUAUACACGGCCACCCCUGCCUCCUACCACCCCCCCACCCCCCUAUUCCCCUACCAAAUACCAAUGAUUAUAAAAACCAAACAUCUACUAUGGAGAGGCUUGGCAUCUGUUGAGCCUAGGCCAGCACAAUAGAAUGUUCUGGAAUGAUGUAAGUGUUCUCUAUCUGUGCUGUUCAAUAUGGUAGCCGCAGGCAGCUACUGAGCACUUUAAAAAUGGACACGAAAAUGAGGAACUGAAUUUUUUAACUGUGUUAACAUUUUAAUGGCUACAUGUGGUGAGUGGCCACCAUAUCAGGCACAAUACCCACCAUGGUUGUGGGAAUGCUGGCCAGGUUAGCUGCGUGAAAAAUGGCCGGACAUCACAGGGAUGACUCCCCAGUCAGGCAGGGCAGCGCUAGGAAGAACCAGGACCACAGAGUCUGUCAACAGUGACACACGUCACAGGGACGCUGCCGAACUUCUGGAAACAUGUGGGGUACAGCUGCAGAGCUGGGGGACUCAGAACCACUAGCUGGUUUGACGAGGGCUCGUCAGCAUAGUCAGGGACAACCUAACUUCAGAGAGCUGUCCUCAUGGGAAUUACUGGAAAACGAGCUUGUUUUUUCUAACCUAGAAUUGCGGGGUGGGGUAAGGAACAAAACCAAAACCAUCUGUCCCAAGGCCUGAAGAGGCGUUAGGCAAAAGCAAACAGGAAAGGGCUCCUCCACAGAGGGCUUUUAUUUCUUUCCACCUACAAAGGGGCAGGGGCGGCAGGCUCCUGAUGGUGCCAGCUCUGCCCUCAGGAAGAACUACACUCUGGCCUGCCAACCUCGGGCAGGCUCACCCGCUAAGCAGCCAGUCGCAAGCGUGCAUGUCUGGCUGCAUUCCCACCACAACAGAAGAGCCCAUAAAGCGUCAAGUAUUUACCGCCCAGCCUUUACAGAAAAAGUGAUCCAGCCCGUUUUCCAGAUGAGAGAGAAAAGCCAUUUGGUUACACAGUCUGAUGGGAGAGCAGGAGACCAGAGAAGGGAACUGCUUUUCCUGCAGGGCCCAGAGGGGCGCCUUGCCCGUCACGGGCACGGGCCCCGGGCAGGAGCCGUCCCCUGGGUGCCAAGGCUUGGCCCAGGGUCGGCC